GACCAGGACCAGGCUGCUGAGGGACUAUGGUAUCAGCUUCCUUCCCCUGGGAUUGUGAGUGACUGUGGCCUCUCUCUCUUGCAGGUGGUAACACCUUCUGCCUGCUGCAGCACCUGUGAGGGGAGCAGCUUCCCGACCUCAGCUCUCCCCAGCCCACCGCACAGCCCAGGGCCAUGGAUGCGACAUCCGACUGGACCUGCCCCAUCUGUGGGCAAGUACGGGAGGAUGUGGCUUACGUGACCCCCUGCCAGCACCAGCUGUGCUACGGCUGUGCCAUCUGGUGGGCUAACAAGAAGCCGAGUUGUGCCGUAUGCGGGCACAAAAUCGAUACCAUCCGAUACUCGGUGAGGUCGGACGACGAUUACCUCGAGUGUGCUGUCCCGCAGCCCGCAGCACACUCAGAUCACGACCUGCAGGACGAGCAGGGGCCUGCAGAGCCGGUGCUCAUCCCAGCUGAGCACAACUUCCCAGCCGAGGUCUGGGCUGCCUUCUUCCAGCAACAUCCGGAAGACCUCGGACCCCUGCUCCGAUGGCUGCAGGGAGAGAUCCAUGAGGUGUCCAGCGACGACUGGUGGGAAGUCUACGUGGCACAGUGCACCACCGUGAACUUCCUGUGCCAGCACGGGCUGGACCAGGAGGCCUUGGUGCAGGCGCUGCAGAUGACCACCAGUGGUGACGUGGUGCCCUUCGUCAGAAGGCUCAUCGGCAUCGCUGCAGCCCUGUACGGCCCCACCAUCCGCCACCAGCUGGACCAUGAAGUCAACCAUGCUGGAGAAGGGCAGGUGGACGGCCCCGCAGACACCCCCAGCCCUGCCACCUCCCAGCAGGAGCCUCCUGCCUCCGUCCCGGGCCGCUCCGCCAGCCCUGCAGGGCCCAGCACGGAGCCAGGGCAGGCGGCCACAGCGGGUCCCUCUUCCCAGGGCAGGGACCGCUCGUCUGGGGGGCCCCGGCGCCCCCCGAAGAGGAAGGCCCGCAGCAGCCCCCAGGACUCUGCGCCGCCCUGCAAGAGGCGGCCCCGGCGGCGGCACUAGGCCGGCACCGCAAUGCCGUCACAGCACGGCUCCGGCGGGCCGGGAGCCCAACAUCUGCCUCUCAGCGUGCUGCUUAUGCACCUAAUAAA
rnacentral:lncRNA from 1 species